GACGAACGCUGGCGGCGCGCCUAACACAUGCAAGUCGAACGGAGCUUGCUUGUCAGAUCCUUUCGGGGUGACGAUUUGUAAGCUUAGUGGCGAACGGGUGAGUAACACGUGAGUAACCUGCCCCAGAGUGGGGGACAACAGUUGGAAACGACUGCUAAUACCGCAUAAGACCACAGAGCCGCAUGGCUCAGGGGUCAAAGGAGAAAUCCGCUGAAGGAUGGCCUCGCGUCCGAUUAGCUAGAUGGCGGGGUAACGGCCCACCAUGGCGACGAUCGGUAGCCGGACUGAGAGGUUGAUCGGCCACAUUGGGACUGAGACACGGCCCAG
rnacentral:rRNA from 1 species